UCCACAGUAGUUCAGUUGGUAGAGCAAUCGGCUGUUAACCGAUCGGUCGCAGGUUCGAGUCCUGCCUGUGGAGCCA
rnacentral:tRNA from 1 species